UUAAAGUAGUGCACUAUAUAGGAAAUAGGGUGCCAUUUGGGAUGUGGUCUGGGUCUGUCCUCAGGGUGUGUUGUCUUAUGUAGGCCAGACGGAGCUCUGCUGCCAGUAUGUGCUGCUAGUGCCUGGAAGACCCCUGGGUUUCUGGCGAAAGGAGAGAAGAAAAACAUGUCACCGUUUGACAAAUGUCUCUGCUGCUUGACUCAAAAGACCUAGCCUAGCGUUUAGCCAUCUCACUUCUCUAGGAUGAGUUAGUGAAAUAAUCUGGGAGCAGUUGAUUUAGGAACGCUUGUCGGUGAUGUAUGGAACCCAAUGUUUUUGUGUAAUUUUCGUGCCAGUUUUGUACAAGUAUGAUGCACACCCUAUUAUAAAGGCUAAUUUUGUUGUUUUUUCUUCCCUCUCUCUCCCUGAAGCGGAGUGCACACAAACAAUAUCGUUUGGGAGAGGCUUCUUGAUGGAUGUCUCGCUAGCGUUCUUGCUAGGAAGCAGAGUUCCCAUAAUGGCCUGCUUUGGCGAGAUUGCAGAAUCCAUUUGUAUGUGCAGUGCAAUUGACAGUUCAUGAAAGUCUUCUCCUUGCAAGGGCAUGAGGAUUGGAUCUGUGGGUGGAGUGGGUGUAUUUAGAGGGGGAUCUGUUACUGGCCAGCUGUGCUCAGGAUUGUCUGAUCCAUGUGUGGAGGCUGGUUGCCAAAUCUGGGACUGAGGGAAACACACAGGAUGAACACACCAUUAGGAUGACUGAGGACGUCUUUAAACUGACAGACACCGAUGCCUCCUCAGUGUUUGCAGUGACGCUAGAGUCAGUCCUGGCCGGACACGAGAACAAGGUCUAUGGAGUCCACUGGCAGACCCUUGCCAUCAAAGCCCUUAGCCCUACCGCAACCCGCUGAGGUACCUUAUUG